rnacentral:ncRNA from 2 species
AAAAUUGAAUAGCUCCGAGUUUAUAUACCUAAAGCAUUGGGCUACGGGAUAUAGACCGUUAGGGUAUUGCUGGAAACGGUAAUGCCUCCCGUUGGAAAGGAGCAGCGUAUGCAACCUG